GACGAACGCUGGCGGCGUGCUUAACACAUGCAAGUCGAACGGAAAGGCCUCUUUCGGGGGGUACUCGAGUGGCGAACGGGUGAGUAACACGUGAGUAACCUGCCCUUGACUUUGGGAUAACUUCAGGAAACUGGGGCUAAUACCGGAUAGGAGCUCCUGCUGCAUGGUGGGGGUUGGAAAGUUUCGGCGGUUGGGGAUGGACUCGCGGCUUAUCAGCUUGUUGGUGGGGUAGUGGCUUACUAAGGCUUUGACGGGUAGCCGGCCUGAGAGGGUGACCGGCCACAUUGGGACUGAGAUACGGCCCAGACUCCUACGGGAGGCAGCAGUGGGGAAUAUUGCACAAUGGGUGGAAGCCUGAUGCAGCAACGCCGUGUGCGGGAUGACGGCCUUCGGGUUGUAAACCGCUUUCGCUCAUGACGAAGCUUUGUGUGACGGUAGUGGGUAAAGAAGCACCGGCUAACUACGUG
rnacentral:rRNA from 1 species